rnacentral:rRNA from 1 species
GUCUAUGGCCAUACCACCCUGAAUGUGUCCGAUGUCAUCUGAUCUCGGAAGCUAAGCAGGGUUGGGCCUGGUUAGUACCUGGAUGGGAGACCGCCUGGGAAUACCAGGUGCUGUAGGCU